CGCCCACCAGCUAGCCCAUCCAACCAAAAACAACACCCCACCAUUAAUACCCCCAAAUGCACUAACAUUAAACUGAAUAAACCAUUUUUCCCCCUUAGUAUGGGAGACAGAAAAGGGCCCAAGGAGCAAUAGAGAAAGUACCGCAAGGGAACGCUGAAAGAGAAAUGAAAGAACCCAGUAAAGCCUAGAAAAGCAGAGAUUUCAACUCGUACCUUUUGCAUCAUGAUUUAGCCAGCAAAACCCAAGCAAAGAGUACUUUAGUUUGAAUCCCCGAAACUAGUGUGAGCUACUCCAAGCCAGCCUAUUAUAGCCUGGCACUAUAAAUAGGGCGAACCCGUCUCUGUGGCAACAGAGUGGAAAGAGCUUUGAGUAGAGGUGAUAUACCUACCGAACCUAGUUAUAGCUGGUUGCCUGAGAAUUGGAUAUAGUUCAGCCUCCCGGCUUCUCUCCUCAACACGUCGAAAUUUUUAACACUAUCGUUAAAGCCCCCUUCUGACACCCCCCCCCCCCAGAAACCGUGAGAGUCAUUCAAAGGAGGUACAGCUCCUUUGAAACAAGACACAACUUUUCCAGGAGGGUAAAGAUCAUAACAACCAAAGGUACAAAUGUCCUGGUGGGCCUAGGAGCAGCCACCCCAACAGAAAGCGUUAAAGCUCAGACAUACCCCUACCCUCUCAUCCCGACAAUUUAAUCUUAACCCCCUAGUAUUACCAGGCCGUUCCAUACAACUAUGGAAGCGACCCUGCUAAAAUGAGUAAUAAGAGAGCCUCGCCUCUCUCCUUGCACACGUGUAAAUCGGAACGGACCCCCCACCGAAAUCUAACCGCCCCAAACAAAGAGGGCACUGAAUGACAUACCACAAUACCAGAAAACCAUUCACCAAAUACCCGUUAGUCCCACACUGGAGUGCCCCCUAAGGAAAGACUAAAAGAAAAAGAAGGAACUCGGCAAACACAUAAUUUAGUCCCGCCUGUUUACCAAAAACACCGCCUUUUGCAAAUCCAACGAAUAAGAGGUCUCACCUGCCCACUGACUACAUGUUUAACGGCCGCGGUAUUCUAACCGUGCGAAGGUAGCGAAAUCAUUUGUCUUUUAAAUGGGGACCAGUAUGAACGGCACAACGAGGGCUUAGCUGUCUCCUUUUUCAAGUCAAUGAAAUUGAUCUCCCCGUGCAGAAGCGGGGAUAUAAACAUAAGACGAGAAGACCCUAUGGAACUUCAGGCACUAAGACAGACCAUGUUACCUGUCCCCUAAACAAAGGGCCAAACCUAAUGACCCCUGCUCUGAUGCCUUAGGUUGGGGCGACCCCGGGGAAUAAAAACCCCCCGCGUGGAACUGGACCACCUUAUCCCUUAUCCUAAAUCAAGAGCCCCCGCUCUACUGAACAGAAAUUCUGACCUACUCAAUGACCCGGCAACGCCGAUCAACGGACCAAGCUACCCUAGGGAUAACAGCGCAAUCCCCUUCUAGAGCCCUUAUCAACAAGGGGGUUUACGACCUCGAUGUUGGAUCAGGACAUCCUAAUGGUGCAGCCGCUAAUUAAGGGUUCGUUUGUUCAACGAUUAAAGUCCUACGUGAUCUGAGUUCAGACCGGAGUAAUCCAGGUCGGUUUCUAUCUAUGACAUGUUCUUCUCCAGUACGAAAGGACCAAGAAGAAGAGGCCCAUACUUAAAGCACGCCUCUACCCCUCACCUAAUGAAAACAACUAAAAUAGACAAGAGGACAUACCCCCCCCCGCCUAAGAAAAUGGCAU
rnacentral:rRNA from 2 species